AUUGAACGCUGGCGGCGUGCUUAACACAUGCAAGUCGAUCGGUAACAGGUGUAGCAAUACAUGCUGACGAGAGGCGGACGGGUGAGUAAUGCUUGGGAAUCUGCCUAUUAGUGGGGGACAACCCGGGGAAACUCGGGCUAAUACCGCAUACGCUCUACGGAGGAAAGCCGGGGACCGCAAGGCCUGGCGCUAAUAGAUGAGCCCAAGUCGGAUUAGCUAGUUGGUAGGGUAACGGCCUACCAAGGCGACAAUCCGUAGCUGGUCUGAGAGGACGACCAGCCACACCGGAACUGAGACACGGUCCGGACUCCUACGGGAGGCAGCAGUGGGGAAUAUUGGACAAUGGGGGCAACCCUGAUCCAGCGACGCCGCGUGGGUGAAGAAGGCCUGCGGGUUGUAAAGCCCUUUCGGUGGGAAGAAAAGUCUCGACCUAAUACGUCGGGACCUUGACGUAACCCACUAAAGAAGCACCGGCUAACUCUGUGCCAGCCGCCGCCGUAAG
rnacentral:rRNA from 1 species